rnacentral:rRNA from 1 species
AUUGAACGCUGGCGGCAGGCUUAACACAUGCAAGUCGAACGAGUGGCGGACGGGUGAGUAAUGCUUGGGAAUCUAGCUUAUGGAGGGGGAUAACUACGGGAAACUGUAGCUAAUACCGCGUACAAUAGGAUGAGCCCAAGGGGGAUUAGGUAGUUGGUGAGGUAAAGGCUCACCAAGCCGACGAUCUCUAGCUGGUCUGAGAGGAUGACCCGCCACCCCGUGACGGGGACACGGCCCAGACUCCGCCGGUAGGCACCAGUGGGGAAUAUUGCGCAAUUGGGGCAACCUGACGCAGCCAUGCCGCGUGAAUGAAGAAGGCCUUCAGGUUGUAAAGUUCUUUCGGUAGCGAGGCGUUGACUACAGAAGAAGCACCGGCUAACUCCGUGCCAGCAGCCGCGGUAAUAC